UGUUGAUUAGAAAUAAAGGAUUUUUGAUGUAUUCGGGUAUUGCUCAUAGAUGCUUAUCUUUGAAAGUUAAAGAGUUCAGAAGAUUCGAUAAAUUUCCCGCUUAUUAAAUGAUCCCAACGGAUGCCUGCGCCAGCAUCUCCUUGAAGUAAUUAAAUAUCCAACAUGGAAUAUUGAGAACUGUUAGUGAUGAACAGCAAAAGUAAGAUGAGAGUUCAUUUGGUGUCCGCGACCUGGUCGAAGUUAGUAUGAACAUUUGUAAACAAUAUAUCCUUAAUUAUACAAACUACAGUUGAACUUUACCUUGGAAGCAAAUUGAAUCCACUCAAGGACUCCUCGUUUCCAUUGAUCUUUUUCUGAGCUCCUCAUAUUGUCACGAUUCCACAACAUGACUUUUUCGAACGUUGAAUUGAUACACCAGGUGGAUUCAGGGAUUUCCUUUUCUGAGGUUUCGUCAUUCUCUAGUCCAUCAUCGCAUAGUACAACUUGCCCUGUAUAGUUUUCUGGAAGAUCUAGUUCUUCUCCAUUUAAUUCGCGUCCACGCAAACAUACUGUUGUUUUCGAAUGCGUAUUGUUCGAAAUUUGGAUUUUGUCAUGAAAAUACUCGAAAACGGGCGCAGGGCCGUCGUAAGAUAUAUGGCAAGGAAGCAAAGAAGCUUUCUCUAAGUUUGAGCUUCCUGCUUGCUCCAAUUUGACAAUAGGUUUGACUGAAUCCAUUGUGCUCUAAGAAGGCUAUCCCUUUUCAAACACACUAGUCUGACAUUUUCUGAAUCUAACUUACAGAGUCCACCGAGUAAUGCGAAACUGUAGGUAAAAUUUCCAACGAUGCCUUAACUAAAUUUAACAAUAUAUCUCCUCGUUAAAAC